rnacentral:rRNA from 1 species
AAAGGAAUUGACGGGGGCCCGCACAAGCAGUGGAGUAUGUGGUUUAAUUCGAAGCAACGCGAAGAACCUUACCAGGGCUUGACAUCCCUUGAACGCAUCAGAGAUGAUGUUUCCCUUCGGGGCAAGGAGACAGGUGGUGCAUGGUUGUCGUCAGCUCGUGUCGUGAGAUGUUGGGUUAAGUCCCGCAACGAGCGCAACCCCUGUUGUUAGUUGCCAUCAUUAAGUUGGGCACUCUAGCAAGACUGCCGGUGACAAAUCGGAGGAAGGUGGGGACGACGUCAAAUCAUCAUGCCCCUUAUGUCCUGGGCUACACACGUACUACAAUGGCUACUACAACAGGAAGCGAAGUCGCGAGGCGGAGCCAAUCCCAAAAAGUAGCCUCAGUUCAGAUUGCAGGCUGAAACUCGCCUGCAUGAAGUAGGAAUUGCUAGUAAUGGCAGGUCAGCAUACUGCCGUGAAUACGUUCCCGGGCCUUGUACACACCGCCCGU